UACGGGGGGGGGCAAGCGUUGUUCGGAAUUACUGGGCGUAAAGGGCUCGUAGGUGGCCGACUAAGUCGGACGUGAAAUCCCUCGGCUUAACCGGGGAACUGCGUCCGAUACUGGAUGGCUUGAGUUUGGGAGAGGGACGCGGAAUUCCAGGUGUAGCGGUGAAAUGCGUAGAUAUUGGGAGGAACACCGGUGGCGAAGGCGGCUACCUGGACCGGUUCUGACGCUGAUGCGCGAAAGCGUGGGGAGCAAACAGG
rnacentral:rRNA from 1 species